rnacentral:rRNA from 1 species
UACGUAGGGGGCAAGCGUUGUCCGGAAUCAUUGGGCGUAAAGCGCGCGUAGGCGGCCCGGUAAGUCCGCUCUGAAAGUCCAGGGCUCAACCCUGGAAAGCGGGUGGAUACUGCCGGGCUAGAAUCCGGAAGAGGCGAGUGGAAUUCCUGGUGUAGCGGUGGAAUGCGCAGAUAUCAGGAGGAACACCAAUAGCGAAGGCAGCUCGCUGGGACGGUAUUGACGCUGAGGUGCGAAAGCGUGGGGAGCAAGCAGG